AGAUUAUUCUGAGAUCAUGAAGAAUGAUGGAAGCAAUAAAUGGAAGGAGCCUGGGUCCCUGAAAACAUGAAGGAGAGCAUUCUUAACAGCCUUCAACUUGAAUUAGACUAUGACAUGAGCAAGAAAAGUCAGAGAAAGGAUUGUGCUGUGCUCAGGAAUGUGGAACUCAAAAGCAUGCAAGUUUGCUGCCAUUCUUGGAGUACUGCAUAUAUGUACCUGGAUUAAAACGUGGAAUCUUCUGGCCACUCCAUUACUGAAACAUUGUCUUGUUCCAGGCAAUUAUACUUAAGGGGAGGUGUUCCCAACCCUGGAAAACAGAAAUUACUACAAAACAACUUAGUACAAACUCCAUUUGCUCCAUGCAGUGAAAAGAAACAAGGAAGAUCAAGCAAGCAAGCAUGACUUCACACAUGGAGAAUGCAGGACUAGGAGAUGGCUACAACUUUGCUCCUGGUUGAACUCUGGAGCUUCUGGUGGUACCUGUAUAUUUCACCCAAAGUGACAGGGACCUUGUUAGCCGUCCUUGCAUUGAAGACCUUGAUGGAUUGAACUCCUGGGGAGAAUGUGUCGGCCGUGAUCUGCCAUAAAGAUGAUGAAUAACAUUUUUUUUUCUUAAAUGAUUACCUAAAACUUUACAGCUAGCCAAAGCUGGCUUUCUCAGAGCCCCUGGAGGAGAGCUUUUAUAAAGUGUCAUUUAAUUAAUAAAGGGGUUAUUGAUUUCUGUCUUGCAUGGAGUACUGCACACAGGCUAGGUAAGAGAAAGGCUAGGACUAAGAAUAAACCUGGGGUGCAACUUCCAUUAAAAUAAGACCUUUCAGAAGACUCUAUGGUCAAAGUCGCCAACCUCAGGGGACAUUAAGAAAAGCAAAGGGUAUUACUAUUGAUAACCUGAUUGGAAAGCUUCACAUUGUCAUUUGAAUUUAAAAGAACAUUGUGUGAUGUAAUGGGUGGUUUUCCUUAUGGAAGAGAUGCAAGACAGUAUUCGUCAGAUAAAUGCUGAACUUCA